GCCCAAGGAUGUAAAUCUUAAAAAGUAUAUUAAAAAGGAUCCCAGAGGGUGUGGUAAAUAUGAAAGGUAAAGAAUAUCAAAAUAUGAAUAAUAGUAGUCCUAAAGGUGAAAAUUAAACUAAGGGAAGAUUAGUAAGUACUAAAAACUAUGUACUCCAAGAAAAAUCUUCCUAACAUUAACAAACAAACAAAAACGAAUGUUGGAAAAGCAUGUUGAAGACUAUCUAUUCUCAAUGACUAACAUCAAAAUAAAUUUUAGUAAAAAUUACUAAAACUUAGAAGCCUUUAGUCAUUGAGAUAAAAAUAGAAACAAAAAGUCAUGAAUAUGACUUUUUAAAAAACAAAAAAAAAUUAGAUUAUUACUAGACUUUUAAAUGGCAUUGCCUUAUCCUGUAAGAAGAUUUUAUAAUGUAUUUGAGAUGCUCAAGGAAAAAAAUCUGAGCCAAAGAUUUUGUUAUUUAUUUAUUUUUAAUGCUUUUGAACAUAAAGGCAUAAAAUAUUAUUGAAUGCAAGAACUGAAGAAACACUGUUUUAAAAAGUCCUUCCUAAGUAAUCUAUGAAAGAGCAGGAUGCAGACAAUCUGAAAGACUAAGGAGACACAGAUAAAGUGGUGAUAAACAUUAAACCUGUAGAACUUAAACUAAAUGAGACUUUAAAAUGAAAGGGAGCAUGUGCUCUUACACAGAGAUAAAACCUAAAAAUGAGGAGAAUGUACAAAAUGUUUCAACUAUUUCAACAAUAUUGGCAGUGUUUGUGUUCAUGUUGUUACUCUGAGGAUGUGAAAUAAAGCAAAUGCAUAAUUAAAAAUCAAUAGAGGGGCUAGGGAUAUAGUUCAGUUGGUAGAGUGCUUGCCUCGCAUACAGAAGGCCCUGGGUUCAAGCCCCAGCACCACAGGGGG
rnacentral:lncRNA from 1 species